rnacentral:rRNA from 1 species
AAAGUUAAGGGCUUAAUCAUGGCCCCGAACGAAUGCUAUCUGGUUGUUUGACACAUGCAAGUCUACAAUUACUUAUGUAGUUGUGGCGUACGGGCGAGUAUAACUAGGAUGCUACCUUUAGGAGGCUUAAUCAGCCAUAUGCACAGUCCUUCGGCUGUGUAAAGGACCGUGUCCGCCUAUUGAUGCUUUUAGUUCACAGCAGUUAGUUGGUGAGGUAAUGGCUUACCAAGGCAAUGACGUGAAGGUGCAGGAUGAAAGUCUCAACACCCGCAGUGGAGAAUGAAAAGUCCCACAUCCUAAUUACAGGAGCAGCAGUGGAGGAUCAUCGUCAAUGGUCGUAAGACUGAACGUGCAAACCAGAAUCAAUCUGAGCUUAGGUUCAAUUGAUGUAGUAGGGCAGGAUAAUGACUAGUCCUACUAAUAGUCGUGACCAAUCCCGGUGCCAGCAGUUGCGGUUACACCGGUACGGCAAGCAUUGUUCGUUGUGAAUAGGCGUAAAGGGUACGUAGGUUGUUCUUUGCUACAUUAGUCAGUAGAGAACUUGAAUCCAAUAGGAGUUACCAGAAUUUCGAGAGUAGCGCUGAUAUGCUUUGAUACUUGAAGGACUACCAAUGGCGAAAGCAGGUAACUAGUUAGAGAUUGACACUGAGGUACGAAAGCGUAGGGAGCAAACAGAAUUAGAUACUCUGGUAGUCUACGCUGUAAACUAUGAGUGCUAGUAUUUUGUCAUACGAUAAGAUUCUUAGCAAACGCAAUAAGCACUCCGCCUGGGAAGUACAGUCACACGACAGAACACCAAAUGAUUAGACGGUCCCGAGGACCCGCAGUGAAGCAUGACACUUAAUGCGAUGACCCGCGCAUCAUCUUACCUAAGCUUGAAUCCUGGUAGUUUACUAUCAGUGACAGGUGCUACAUGACCCUCUUCAGCAUGUGUUGUCAAAUGUCUGGUUAAAUCCGCUAACAUGCGCAAUCCUUACUGUUAGUUACUGUCUAGCAGUGUACGGCUGAUAUAGUCGUAGAAUAGGGCUAAGAGAGGUCCCCAUGACCUUUAUGCUUAGGGCUGUAGUUGUGCUGCGAAGAGUUUUACAAUGUGAGGCGAUAAGCUAAUCAUCAAAGAAAUUCACACGGAUUGAGGUGCUAAGUUAACCUCAUGAAAUAGGAAUUGCGAGUAAUCGUGGAGUAAUGCGCCACGGUGAACAUACCACUCGGGAUGUACUAAUUACUCAUCAAGUCGGGAAAGAAUUGAGUUUAUGAAAAUGGAUGACACCUAUGUAAACUAUCAGUAACGCUUAUACUACAUUUUUGUAGUGUAGAGCCUGAUAUGUGUAGGUAGGAAGAGUCUCUUUAGUAGGCUUUCUCAAUCUGGACUAAGUUGAAAUAUAGGAGUGGUACGGGAACGUGCUGCUGAAAAAUGUAACAA